UGUUUCCGUAGUGUAGUGGUUUAUCACGUUCGCUUCACACGCGAAAGGUCCCCGGUUCGAAACCGGCCGAAACAG